UACGAAGGGGGCUAGCGUUGCUCGGAAUCACUGGGCGUAAAGCGCACGUAGGCGGCUUUUUAAGUCAGGGGUGAAAUCCUGGAGCUCAACUCCAGAGCUGCCUUUGAUACUGGGGAUCUCGAGUCCGGAAGAGGUGAGUGGAACUCCGAGUGUAGAGGUGAAAUUCGUAGAUAUUCGGAAGAACACCAGUGGCGAAGGCGGCUCACUGGUCCGGUACUGACGCUGAGGUGCGAAAGCGUGGGGAGCAAACAGG
rnacentral:rRNA from 1 species